AGAACGAACGCUGGCGGCAUGCCUAACACAUGCAAGUCGAACGAAGCCUUCGGGCUUAGUGGCGCACGGGUGCGUAACACGUGGGAAUCUGCCCUUAGGUACGGAAUAACUCAGGGAAACUUGAGCUAAUACCGUAUGAUGUCUUCGGACCAAAGAUUUAUCGCCUAAGGAUGAGCCCGCGUCGGAUUAGCUAGUUGGUGGGGUAAAGGCCUACCAAGGCGACGAUCCGUAGCUGGUCUGAGAGGAUGAUCAGCCACACUGGGACUGAGACACGGCCCAGACUCCUACGGGAGGCAGCAGUGGGGAAUAUUGGACAAGUGGGCGAAAGCCUGAUCCAGCAAUGCCGCGUGAGUGAAGAAGGCCUU
rnacentral:rRNA from 1 species